ensembl:lncRNA
GUAUUAGUUUACAGGUUCACAGAAGCUAUUAUACCAUGCAAUGUCUAGCCGAGAUUGCAAAAUAAUUAGCUACAAUGGCUGAUUCUGAUGAUUCCUCUUUCAAGAAGAGCUGGGUGCUGACAUUUAUUUUAAUUUGAUUUUACAUAGGAACAUACAGCCCUAUUUAUUUGAACUGGAAUACGCUGAGGAGGAGUUGAGACACCGCAAAACAAUUAUUGUGAGAACAGCAAGCAGUGGGGACAGCCUAGACAAGGACUCAGCAGGGCAAAUGACAAACAAAACCUGAGCCCUAGGACCAUGACUCAGGACUACCUGGCCUGAUAACUCUUUGCUGUCCCCAGUCCACCUGGACGUGCUGCUGCUCCAGUUUCAACUGUUCUGCCUGCAGCUAUGGAACCCUGACCUGUUCAGCGGACGUGCUAACUGUCCCAGACCUACUGUUGUCAACUCCCUAGAGACAGCAGGAGCGGUAGAGAUACUCUGAAUGAUCGGC